rnacentral:rRNA from 1 species
GAACGCGAAAGCCCUUUCGGGGGUAAGUAGAGUGGCGUCCGGGUGAGUAACACGUGGGUAAUCUGCCUUCGGGUGGGGAAUAACCCAGGGAAACUUGGGCUAAUACCGCAUAAUGCAGCGGCACCUAAUGGUGAUUAGUUGUUAAAGCGGGGGAUCGCAAGACCUCGCGCCUGAAGAGGAGCCUGCGGCAGAUUAGCUAGUUGGUGAGGUAAUGGCUCACCAAGGCUGCGAUCUGUAGCUGGUCUGAGAGGACGGCCAGCCACACUGGCACUGACACACGGGCCAGACUCCUACGGGAGGCAGCAGUGGGGAAUUUUGGGCAAUGGGCGAAAGCCUGACCCAGCAACGCCGCGUGAGGGAGGAAAUCCUUCGGGAUGUAAACCUCACAAGCAAGGGAAGAGAGCUACGGGCUGAAUAAUCCCGUAGUGCGACGGUACCUUGCGUAAGCCACGGCUAACUACGUGCCAGCAGCCGCGGUAAUACGUAGGUGGCAAGCGUUGUUCGGAAUUAUUGGGCGUAAAGGGCGCGUAGGCGGCUUGUUAAGUCGGCUGUGAAAGCCCGGGGCUCAACCCCGGAGGGUCAGCCGAUACUGGCAGGCUAGAGUACGGAAGAGGUAGCUGGAAUUCCCGGUGUAGCGGUGAAAUGCGUAGAUUUCGGGAGGAACACCUGAGGCGAAGGCGGGCUACUGGGCCGAUACUGACGCUGAUGCGCGAAAAGCCAGGGGAGCGAACGGGAUUAGAUACCCCGGUAGUCCUGGCCCUAAACGAUGGACACUUGGUGUGUCGGGUAUUCCAGUCCCCGAUGUGCCGGAGCUAACGCGUUAAGU